UUAUGAACGUGAUGAAAGUAAUGGACGGGUGAUGAUCAAUUUCAUAUGAUCAACAACUCCUCGCUACGUUCUUUCUGAUUCUUGG